rnacentral:misc_RNA from 1 species
GUAUUGUAUUGCGUUAAACGCGGUGUGCAUUCCAUGAGACUUUACUACAGCGUGUGUGUAAAUACAUAGAACCACGGCAGGGGGGACAGAGCCCCCCAGGCUGCAGAACUAUGGAGAGUGCACAGGUGUGAGUGGAUGUGCAAACAGAGCGUGCACAUGUCCCCAUUCGAGGACCAGCAACAACUCGUGUUGACAAUUCGGUAAUGAUCCUUCCGCAGGUUCACCUACGGAAA